rnacentral:tRNA from 3 species
GGCGGCGUAGCUCAGUUGGUGAGAGCACUCGGCUCAUAAUCGAGGGGUCGCCGGUUCGAGUCCGGCCGCCGCUACCA